rnacentral:sRNA from 1 species
UGUUGUAUUUUAUUUUUAUUUUCGAAACUAUAUUAAUACAGAGGAGAGGAAGAUCGUCCUCACAAGUAUUUGCAAAAAUGAUACACAAAUCAAUGCCAAAAUGAUGACGCAGUGAAGGUUUAGACAGCUCAAGAAUGAUAUUGCACAUCAAUCACUGAUUCAAUGUUUUAUUUUUGUCUUCUUCUUUUUUUUUUUUGUUGAAUGAUACUCAUUGUCAACAUAAUAUCAUAAGCCUUUUAUCAAAAUAAUAAUAAUACAUAAUGUCCUGC